CCCAGGAGCGGUGAACAUGCACUCAAGGCCAAGCUCCUGAAACACAAUAUGGCCUGGCCUAGGCCGCUGGUGGGAACAGCAACUCCAGAAGGAAAUGACAUUAAACAAUCUUGGAUUCUAACGACAAGACAGAAGCUGACCUUCAGCCUGAAGUCUGCCGCUUCUGGCGGUGUAGUGGCUUCCUCACUAUGCUUCGAGGCGAAUGGUCUCGGGUUCGAAUCUGGCCGACUCCUUGCACGCUUUCCAUCUGUGCUGGGUAGAGCAUCAAGCCAGCAACUCAGCCUCGUAAAGAAAAAAUCAAACCAGUGCUAAAGAAAUGGCAAGGUUGCCGUCUGACGUGCCACGAGGCGUGAAGAGGAACUUCUUUUUGGAUGCUGCCUGGCCUACUGAGUUCCUCCAGCAUCCUGUGUGCGUUGAUUGAAUAAGAGAAGACAUCCAGAUACUUUACCCAAAUGUGUUUUUGAGGACAACAUGAAGAAAAAGAAUCUACCACCAAUCAAUAUGCAUUGUAGGCCUUUCAAAGCAAGAGGUUACUCCAUCCUGUGCGCUGGUUUGUCCCACUC